rnacentral:snRNA from 1 species
GCAUUUGCCUCGGCACCCCAUAGGCUAAAAUUGGACGUUAUAGAGAUGAGUUUGGCCCCGGUACAAGGAUGGUAUGCAAGUUUGAGAUGCAGUCUUUAUUUUU